AUCCAGCUGACGAGUCCCAAAUAGGACGAUAUGCGCGUCCUGGAU
rnacentral:hammerhead_ribozyme from 1 species